rnacentral:rRNA from 1 species
CCUACGGGUAGCAGCAGUGAGGAAUAUUGGUCAAUGGACGAGAGUCUGAACCAGCCAAGUAGCGUGAAGGAUGACUGCCCUAUGGGUUGUAAACUUCUUUUAUAUGGGAAUAAAACGUUCCACGUGUGGGAUUUUGUAUGUACCAUAUGAAUAAGGAUCGGCUAACUCCGUGCCAGCAGCCGCGGUAAUACGGAGGAUCCGAGCGUUAUCCGGAUUUAUUGGGUUUAAAGGGAGCGUAGGUGGAUUGUUAAGUCAGUUGUGAAAGUUUGCGGCUCAACCGUAAAAUUGCAGUUGAAACUGGCAGUCUUGAGUACAGUAGAGGUGAGCGGAAUUCGUGGUGUAGCGGUGAAAUGCUUAGAUAUCACGAAGAACUCCGAUUGCGAAGGCAGUUCACUGGACUGCAACUGACACUGAGGCUCGAAAGUGUGGGUAUCAAACAGGAUUAGAUACCCUAGUAGUC